GACGAACGCUGGCGGCGUGCCUAACACAUGCAAGUCGAACGGAACUUCUUUAAAGGAUUUCUUCGGAAUGAAUUUGAUUAAGUUUAGUGGCGGACGGGUGAGUAACGCGUGAGUAACCUGCCUCUAAGAGGGGAAUAACAUUCUGAAAAGAAUGCUAAUACCGCAUAAUAUAUAUUUAUCGCAUGGUAGAUAUAUCAAAGAUUUAUCGCUUAGAGAUGGACUCGCGUCCGAUUAGUUAGUUGGUGAGGUAACGGCGUCACCAAGACCGCGAUCGGUAGCCGGACUGAGAGGUUGAACGGCCACAUUGGGACUGAGACACGGCCCAGACUCCUACGGGAGGCAGCAGUGGGGGAUAUUGGGCAAUGGGCGAAAGCCUGACCCAGCAACGCCGCGUGAGGGAAGAAGGGUUUAC
rnacentral:rRNA from 1 species